rnacentral:lncRNA from 10 species
UGCAGAUGAACCUGUGUCUUUAGACUCCAAAUACAGUGCUUUCUGUUGCACGCCCACAGACAGUCCUUCCUCAUGCCACUCUAACAAUUAAAAAAAAAAUCUGCCAGGCACAGUUGCACAUGUCUGUAGUCCCAGUUACUCAGAAGACAGAAGCAGGAGGGUCACUUGAGCCCAGGGGUCCUGGGCUUAGUGUACUAUGCCAAUGAGAUAUCCAUGCUAAGUUCAGCAUCAACAUAGGGGACCACCAGAUUGCCUAAGGAGGGGUAAACCAGUCCAGGUUGGAAACAGAGCAGGUCAAUACUUUCCUGCUGAUCAGUAGUAGGUUUGCACCUGUCGAUAGGCACUGCACUGCACUCCAGCCUGAGCAACACAGCAAGACCCCAUCUCUAAAAAUAAAUAAAUAACUAUUACACAAAUAAAAGAUCUUUGCCCAGUAAAUACUUAUUGAACCAACAUCUAAAGCUGUGGAGGGUAUACAAAGUGUGAGCCCCUUCCCAGAAGGAAGGCUGUGCUUUCAUAAUUACAGGCCUGGACACGGUGUCAAUGUUCUCACAAGAGACACCUGCAGGAAGAGGUACAAUAGAUCGGAGAAGAGAAAGUCAUUUCUGGCUUUGAGGUUGAGGACCAUUUUGUGGAACUCUUGCACUGAGCUAGGUCUAAAAAGAUGAACAACUAGCAAAAACGUAGAAUGGGGCAUUCUACAUAUAUAGAAAGGACAGCAUGCAAAUCUGCUCCACAAUGUGUCAAGAAGUUGGGAGUAAUGAGGUGGCUACAUUCUCUGGACUGAUUAUAGAAGUCAUGAGGCCAGAGGAAGGCAUUGAAAUGCUUCCUUGAAUCCCUG